rnacentral:miRNA from 15 species
CUUUCUGUGGCUGUCGUGUUAAG